rnacentral:rRNA from 1 species
GAUGAACGCUGGCGGCGUGCUUAACACAUGCAAGUCGAACGAGAAGUGAAGACGGAACCCUUCGGGCGGAAGGCUUUAUUUCGAGUGGCGGACGGGUGAGUAACGCGUGGGUAACCUGCCUCAUACAGGGGGAUAACAGUUGGAAACGACUGUUAAUACCGCAUAAGACCACAGCACCGCAUGGUGCGGGGGUAAAAACUCCGGUGGUAUGAGAUGGACCCGCGUUCGAUUAGCCAGUUGGCGGGGUAACGGCCCACCAAAGCGACGAUCGAUAGCCGAUCUGAGAGGAUGACCGGCCACAUUGGGACUGAGACACGGCCCAAACUCCUACGGGAGGCAGCAGUGGGGAAUAUUGCACAAUGGGGGAAACCCUGAUGCAGCGACGCCGCGUGAGUGAAGAAGUAUUUCGGUAUGUAAAGCUCUAUCAGCAGGGAAGAAAAUGGCGGUACCUGAGUAAGAAGCCCCGGCUAACUACGUG